CCUCUGAACGUUUCCCAUCCUGUUCUCUCGACUGCCCUCGAGCUUUCUGUCUUCCGUCGCCUUUUCUUUUCAUUGUGCACUCUGCCACGGUGGUGCACCCUGGGCAACAGAAGUACAUGGAAAAGGUGCUUGCCUACCUGGAAGGUACACUCCUCGAUCAGUACCUAGAGCUGCUGCCCUCGCGUUGGUCUGCGCUGCUGCCGCGGCUGGCGAAGCGGACGCAGCGACUACAGGCGUUAACGGAUCUCACGACAGUCAAUGAGCUUGAAAGCGCCGUGGAGGAGGACUUUCAGCUCGCUACCAAGCUACUCCAUGCGGAGCACAGAAUAUACCAAGAAGGCGUCACACUCUUUGACGGGCUCAGUCAAGCAUCCGAUCUGGUGCGGCACACUUGGCGCCUACUCGCCAACGAUUUGCUUGCCGAACUCGCGGCAAAGGAGUUGAUGCUGGCGCACUGGAAGGCCGCCGUGACCACCAUCACCGCGGACACUCUACGCGUGUACAGUCACGCGCUGUUGGUUCACGCAAGAGUCACAACGGCUCGAGUACACCACCUCAUGGCCCUGCUACGAGAAGAGGAAGCUGGUUAGUGCUGCGGCGGCAAUCGAUGCAAAAAAAAAAGGUGCUGCCGCCUUGCGUGCGUUUCGCUCGUGCUCUUCAACUGUUGCUCUGGUCCAAAUCGGGCUGUCUCGCGGUCUCCGUUUGUGUAAACAGGUAAGCUGACACACACACACACAGCACGGGUGUAGCGCUGCCGCUCUGCGCACUUCACUUGGCAGCCGUGCCCAUGCUGUGCAAUCUAUACACGUUAGUAACCGUAAAGCACGACCGCGGCGCCGAAGAAGCGCCCUUCACUCGACGGUUGAGGUUGCGAGUGUCAGAACGCGCAUGGAUGCAUCUCUCUGCCUCUCUGAGGUGUUUCUAGCGGCAUCCC
rnacentral:misc_RNA from 1 species